ensembl:lncRNA
AGGCUCAUGACAACUCCAGAAGGCCUGUGACACCUCCAGAAGGCCUGUGACACCUCCAGAAGGCUCAUGACACCUCCAGAAGGCCUGUGACACCUCCAGAAGGCUCAACAGUAUUAGGCCCAUGACACCUCCAGAAGGCUCAACAGUGGUGUCUGGCCCAUAGACAUAUAUAUGUAAUAUAUGUCUAUGUUCUGGCCUCCCAGACGCACCUGCUUCCAUACUCACGAUGGGUUAGGACAUGUCAAUCCCAGAGACAACAAAAGAUAAACCACAAGAUACACCUCGAAAAGAUUUCACAUUCAUAUCUCUAGUGUCCGAAUGAUGCACUGCCUAAUUCUAAACAUCAAUCUGGGUAUACUGUGGCAUGGCUGUCCAGGGUUUGGGGGGUGGGGAGGUGGGGUAACCCUCUCUGGAGUAAAAACCCAGCUUACGGGUCAGGAUAGGAAUUGGAUAUGAACCCAGGUUAGGGUAAGGGAAGGGGUUGGAUAUGAACCGAGGUUAGGGUAAGGGAAGGGAUUGGAUAUGAACCCAGGUUAGGGUAAGGGAAGGGGUUGGAUAUGAACCCAGGUUAGGGUAUGGAAGGGAUUGGGGGUGUGAGACCCCCCCACCCCGUGAUCACGGAUUAGGAUAAGAGAAGAAACUGGGAUAAGAACCCUGGUCCCCUUAGAGACAUCUUGCGUCCACAGGCUUCUUUCACGGAUAUUCAAAGCCUCCUUAGAGACAUCUUGCGUCAACAGGCUUCUUUCACGGAUAUUCAAAGCCUCUGUUCUUUUGUCAAUUCUGUUUUCCAGUUAAGAUGAGUCAUUGCAGAUGUUAUGCAGUUCCAAUCCUUUGUAUCGAAUUACCUCAAAGAGAGAAUAAACACACCCUAUGUUAAAGGCAUAGCCCACGAUUACAUUUAGUACAUUUCUUCAGCAAAUUGCUCCUCGUGGUGUUCUAGCUGUCCAUUGUGGCCGUGUAAAAGGGAAAGUGGCUCGGCCAGAGCCAUACACUAUUCCAGCCAAUCAACAUGUUGCUUCAGGAGCAUAGAAGGGAGGGGUGUAAUUUGAUUUCCCGUUGAGCUCACAUAUCAACAACCUUUUGCCAGAAUUGCAGACUGUUCCUUUAAUUAGCCCUUAACAGGAGCUAAUCCCACCCAAACAUGAACAAUUAUCUAUUCACUGCUCAUUGCAUCCAAGUUUUAAAAAAUCCAAACUUUAUGGUACUGAACAGUGUUGUUCAUCUGUUCUUCGUGAACCGUUUCUUUUGAACGUUACCCAGGCUGGUGACCCUGGUGGGUUUUAUGAUGCCCGCUCUGGGCCUCCAUCUGCUUCUAUUGUGCUGCGCAUGCAAACCCACUGAAGCCCAUAAACUCCAUAACGCCGUAAGUCCUGCUACUUGAAACACCACACGCUGCAGGGCUAUCCGUCUCCCUGUGGCACUCCGAGGCUGCUGUUUUGGAGAUCGGUGGGUUUCUCUACGCAACCUGUCAGCUGGUCCUGUUGUUCUGGUGUUCUGUUUUUCCACUGGACCCACAGGAUCUGUCAUGCUGUUGUACACAGUGAGGCCCUGCAGCAGCGGGGACGGGAGGACAUCUGGCCCCCGUCUGGCCCCCGUCUGGCCCGGUUCUGGCCCAGGUCUGGCCCCCGUCUGGUCCGGCUCCGUGGCCAUCCAUGUGUCAGCUGCCAGUGGGGAUGAGGGACAGGCAUUCAGCGCCCUCCCAGCCAUUCGUGGUCAGUCUUG